rnacentral:rRNA from 1 species
UACGUAGGGGCUAGCGUUAUCCGGAUUUACUGGGCGUAAGGGGUGCGUAGGCGGUCUUUCAAGUCAGGAGUGAAAGGCUACGGCUCAACCGUAGUAAGCUCUUGGAACUGUAAGACUUGAGUGCAGGAGAGGAGAGUGGAAUUCCUAGUGUAGCGGUGAAAUGCGUAGAUAUUAGGAGGAACAUCAGUUGCGAAGGCGGCUCCCUGGACUGUAACUGACGCUGAGGCACGAAAGCGUGGGGAGCAAACAGGAUUAGAUACCCGGGUAGUCCCUGA